GUUUUUUUUGUGUAAGUAUUUUUAAUUAUAAAUAAAAGGCAUGUGUAGCUGAAAUACAACACGCUGACUGAAAUAGUCUAUCAAUGAGCAGAGUUAGUUCAGAUUUGAAGUUUUGGCAGGCAGAUGCUGCUUCUACUUUCAUAUGGUUUUCAAUAUAAAGUAGAUGUGCUAACACCAAAGUACAUCCUGCUCAUUUCACCCAAGCACUCCUGCUGCAGUCAAGAUCUGGGCCCUCCAUAGAGUUUUGUAUAUAAAAACAUGGACUGUACAUAUGUUAAUAAUGCCUCACAUAACUUUAUGGAGGGAGGGUUCAUAGGUGUGAUGUUAUGAUAUUGCACAAUGACAGCCAGUUCAGUAAAACACAUAAACACAUACAUAAUUCGGGGCCACAGAUAGCCUAGUACAAGAGUAUAGUGUGCUUAUCCAUAUGGGUAAUUUAAAGGUUAGAUAUUGCACUGUGCUGGAUAGAGAGCUUGUCGUCUUACAGUGUCAGGUGCUAAUAGAUUAUGCAUGCUGUAUAACUCAGUGAUGUCAGUGGAUCUGUUCUUAUUUGAAUGAGCAAAUUCUAAUGAAUGAGUUCUAAUUUAAGUGAGUUUCAACUCAUAUUUUUACAUUCAUUCUCUUGCUUUGCAUUUAUGUACCUUUGGUGAAGAGAAAAAAAGGAGGAAGACAUGAGGCAAGCUGCAUGUUUCUCAAAAAGAAAUGUCAGCUCAACUGAAAACUUUAGUUCAGUUUGAAAAUUCUAGAAAAGAGACUUGUGAGCAAUUGCCAUCAACAAAUCUUGGAAAGAGUCUGGUGUAAAGAACGCCUAAUGCCAUCUGUUCAUUUCAAAUGGAUCCAGAUUUGCAGGGUAAGGAUUUUUCUCAUUUUUUUGCAGCUUUUCUCAAGAGACAUUUCUGUGUCUGUUUGGACAGAAACUAAUGAAUUGUAGUGAAGCCAUACCACUUGCAGAAUCUCUGUGCCAUAACACAUAAAUGACAAAUAACACAGCUGUGCCGUCCUACCUUUAUUUUUCAUUUGUCCUGGUGCCUUCACUGCCACUAUCACCUUGGCUCACAGAGUGGUCAGGCACACAAAGGCCACAUUCCCUAAUUUAUAAUACAGGAGAUGGUUAUUUUUCACAUAUUGUAGGAUGGGCACAAAGGAUGGCCAUAUGCUCCCAUUUUGAAUGGAAAAUCUUAAUGGAUACUUCAGCUGCAAAAUAAUAAGUAGUACAAAUGCAGAACUAGCAGGUAUCUAUCUGGAGAUGUCAGGAAACAAGGGUCUCUCUUCUAUCUGUGUAGGAAUUCCUUCAUCAGCUUCUAAACGAAGGGCAUUUAUGAGUCUUGAAGUGAAAUUUGACCCACUGCAGAAUGAUUACAUGCUGGUUUUGUGUCCAAAGGUGAAGCUCCAUUCCUAUGAGAAAUGAGAGAGUUUAGUGACCCUAAAUAGCCUCUUCAUAAAUAAUAUUCCUAAAAUAUAUUGUAUUUUAUUGGGGCUUUUUUUCUUUGUCUGCUGUUUUACUUGUGUAAUCUUGCAAGUUAAUUCUGGAACUGUUGCCUGACAGGCACAGAAUGCCGCACUUUGAGGCCACAUUUUUUUGUAAGGAUGGCCUUGAAGUGAGGAGCAGAUGGUUACUAGAACAGAUUCCCUUCACUUAGAAAGUCAUCUUGCACAUAGAGGGUGUUUGAGUUGGAUCAUGUGUAUGUUUCCAGCAUUUGUAUUUGAAAAUACGCAUUUGGAAUUUAAUCCAUAGACUAGUGAAAACUAUGGCAGUCUCUCUGUUACUUUCAGAAGAGAUUUGGAUCAGUUUAUUGAAGAGAGUAAACUGAUGAUGCAUGGAAGUCAAAACUCAUUUUUCACGUUGUAUGGCAUGCUACACUACAUCUCCAAAUAAUAUCACAAAACAUAGUAUGACAAGAGCAGGACUAAACAGAUGGUAUAGCAGAUAUUGGCUUAUUUCAGGCAGCAUCUGGGAACCAGCAGAGCCCAUAAUUUGCUGACUAUUAACAUUAGUCUGGUACAUUUGUGGGAAACCAAUGCACACAGAUUGGCUUAUUUCCAGACUAAAUAGGUAGAGAGUUUUGUGAGUUAUUUCUACUCAGUUACUCAUAUUUGUUGCUUAUCUUUGACCUGAAUCAGUUGUAACUCUUCCUCUGUGAAGUACAGGGAGAAAGAGGACAGAAGGAUAACUGCUAAAUUCCUUUCUAGUUUCUAAAGCUGUUGUGAACAAGCCUUUUUUAUUUUGUCUUGAAGUUCUAGGUGUGUGUGUAAAAUACCAGAUAUAGGUCAUAUUCGGAAGCCCUUACUUCCCACUCAGGAAAAGAUUCUUUAGCGAUGUGAAAGGAAUGAGCUGAAGUCAUAUAAGGGUAUAGGAUUUAGUUGAGCAGCUUGAGUGGGAUUACUAAGGAGAGAUGUCAAAAGGCAAUUGCUUAUCUUCUUCUGAGAGAGUCCCAGAUGUUGAUCUUGACAGUAAAUUUGUUUAAUGCUUGAAACACUAUGCAUCCCAAACAAUAACCCUGCUGUGCAGGCUGACAAACUGUUCCUUGUAGAAGAGUCAUGUCUGAUCAGGAAACUGUUUUGCCUGAAGCAAUGUUAUUUUAUUAUGACCUUGACUAAAAGUAUGCACAGUGCAUAUCCUUUUUUCUGGUCUAUGAAUAGACUUCAUUCCCAAAGAAGCAGGUGCUCUCUCUGUGAUAAAUACAAUUUUUAUGACUCAUCAUAUCACUGGUCAUAAGAAGACCGUUUUCCCCACAGAGAUAUUGGAAAAAAAAGAACAUGUUGUAAUUUUUUUUUUCAUUUUCUUCAGAAUUUUCCUUCGAAGUGCUGUGGGUUUUGAUUAAGUCCAAAUUUGGUUAUUUUACCCUUUAGUUAAACAAUUUGGUUUUCUUUAUUUAUUGUAAUGUGUGUUUGUUUUCUUCCACAGAGGCUUUCAAUGAUGUUCAGAGCUCUGUCUACAGAACAGCCCUAAAACUACGCUCAGUACAAAGUCUGUGCCAGUCACAUUCUAUCGAGUGAACAGAGCCAGAAGGAAAAGCAGAGUUCUCUGAAAGUGCAGCAGCUGUCUGGAAUGCUGACAGAACUGUUCCAAAGGGCAAGAUUAGAAAAACCAGGCCAGGUAGAUCCAAGAGCCGCUGAAUUCACGUUGGGCCUGCUAACUGCAAUAUAUGACAGAUCUGGAACAGGUUGUAUCAAACCUAGAUCUGCUGCAGCUGCCUUAAUUGCCCUUUCAGGAGACACACUACUAGCUAAAUACAGAGCUUUCUUUCAAUUUUAUGCUGUCCCUGAUGGGAAGGUGACCUUGAUUACCCGUAGUAACCUGAGAAGCCUCCUAACAGACUUAAAUCAGAUCCCAGCCAUUGUUGGAGAAAGCUGCACUCUGUCUUGUGUGGAAAUUGCGAUACACAACUGUUUCCAUGGGGUUCUGAAUUCAGCAAUUGUUGAAGAAAAAUUCCUGUCUUGGCUGAGAUCGGAGCCUGCUGUUCUCCUGUGGCUCCCUACAUGUUACAGAUUAUCAGCCACAGAAAUGGUUUCUCACCAAGCUAGAUGUAGAGUCUGCAAAAUUUUCCCCAUUACAGGCCUCAGGUAUCGGUGUCUGAAGUGCCUCAAUUAUGACCUUUGCCAAGUCUGCUUUUUCACUGGUCGUCUCAGCAAACCACAUAAGAGUUCACAUCCUGUUGUGGAACACUGUGUGCAGAUGUCAGCAAAGGCGAAUGCAAAGUACUUUCUUCGCACUAUCAGGAACAACCUGUUUCAAGAGCGCUGCAGAAGAAAAGAGGCUCAGAGAAGGAGGGCUCUGGAGAUAGUGGAGGAAAGGCACUUCCCUACUCACAAAAAGAGUUUACUCCCUGCAGAACUCAGUGCUUCACCAACACCUGGACCUGAAAACCUGUCCUUCCCAGUGGACAGACCUGUCCUGGAGUCACCCAAGUUCAUAUCUGAAAACAGAUCUGUAAUGCAACAGGAUGAGAAAAACAGCAAGAUACCAGAGCAAGGCAAGACGAAAGCUCAGGUGAUAGCUUCUUUUGAAGCAGAUGUGUUAAAAAUGCACGAAUCCAUCAAAAGCAUUCACAAUGAGAGCAGGUACAUGAAGAAGCAGUUCAACCAAUGGAAGGAUAAAAUGCAAUUUCUUCACAGCUGCCAGGAAGACAAAAGGUGCGAAAUAGAGGCAAAGCUCCAAAGCCUGCGAGCAAGCCAUGAAAACCUGCAAAUGAAGCUGCAGCAAAUGAAGCAAGAAGUAAAGAUGAUGUUACAGUCAUCAGAGCAUCCUUUUACACAGUGUCAGAAUGUGAUGCCAAGAAAUCCGCGUUUCCAGCUGGAAAGGAGAAUGCAGGGUGGAUUAAGUCCUGCCAGGAUAAAGCCUGCUUCCAGAACAUGUGCAGACUGGAGAUCUUUGAAUCCCCCCAACUCUGAAGAUAGAACGCAGCCUCUACAGACAUCUGAGGUUCCCACUGCAGUGGACUUUAUGUUCUCAGAAGACCCACUGGAGUCAGUGUCCCUGCAGAGUGUCAGACCUUUUACAGGACAGUAUAAAAAAGCAAAAGAGAAUCAAACAUGUCUGCCUGAAUUGACAGAAAAUUCCCUCAAUGGCACUGAGAGAAAAACAGUUCUUACUCCCACUGCAGUGCAGAUACCACCUGAUGAGAAGGAAGUCAGUGAGGAGGUGGAACUGCAGCAGCUAGUGUUGCAACUGAAGGAUGCAUUGUCUCUCCAAGCCCAACCAGCUCAAGAGUCUGCUUUGCAGCAGGAGUUCUUCUCUACAGCUGAACGGGUUUGCAGAUCCUUUUGUGACCUCAUCAACCAAGUAACUUCACCAACAUGUAAAUGAUGGAAACUACUAUUCACUUUACAGCUCCACUGAACUAUUGAAGCAGGUGAGGAGCCCUGAACCCACUGAACACACAGCUCUGCAGCUCCUGCGGCAUCAAGGAGAAGCAGCAUUUGACCUUUGUAAGUGAAUGAACAGAUAAAUAUGACCUGAUCACUCUCUUCUACUUUGAUAGGCUUCUUAAUCUAUUAGGGAAUAAUUUUUUUAAUUCUCACUUCAGACAUAGAAAAUUAAUAUUUGAAUUAUUAUAAAAACCUGAUUGAGGAAUUAUGGUUUAUUGUUGUAUUACGGCUUAAUCUUGAUAAAUAUUUUUGAAAAGAAAUAGCAGCUUGAAUACCAUGAGAAAUUACUUGUUCCUGUGCCUAACGCUUCUGUGAUUUGUAUGGUUUUAAACAUUGAUUCUAAAUUUAUAUCUACAAUGCAUGUAGACUUGACACUACAAAAAAGGGCAAGAAUUAAAUACUUUUGUACAAGACUCUCUCUAACAGUCACAAGCAAAAUAACUAGUAUGUUACCCUCCAUAGUUAUAAAAAGCAUUGAACUAGAAUAGGGUGAGAAAUGUUUUCAUUGUCCAGGAAUCAGUUCAAGAUUUCAAAAGGUUCUCUCUAAACCUGAAUUUUUAAAAAAUAUUUUGAAUUGAUAAUUUAAAAAAAAGCUGUAACCACAAACCAAAGUUUGCUCUGGCACUUCUGAGUCAACUGUGUCAACACAUUUGUUACUCAAAACUACUCAGCUAUGGCCACCACUUACCAUGUAGUCUUUAAUUAUAAAAAAGUUUAGCAGUUUUAAAGAACUGCUGCAUUCAAAAUAAACGCCCCUGAAGCCAUGUAUCUUUGGGCAUUUUUAACCACUGUAGUCAACUUCUGAGAGCAACACUACUUGUUGGAAGUGAAAUGAAGGACCUUGUUCCCUAAGUGUUAGGGUGAACCCAAACAGUUAAAUUCCAUUCUUUUAUUGUUCUUCAACUUUGCACCCUGAUGAUAUCUGCUAAUUUCAAAUCAAAUUUCCUCCUUUUGUUCAGUGUAAUAUUUAUAGCAGUUUGUUAUAGGUUGGCAGGGGAGUUAACUUAGAAAUCUUGUAGCAGGAACUCAAAAUUUCGUGAUGUAAGCAAGAAUUAGAAACGCCAUCGCCACUGAAGAGAAGACAUGCGGCAUUGCUUACUUAAAGCCCCAUCCUGUCCCCCCAAGGACAAUAGCUGCUACCAGGAUGGCACCAGCGAUGGAGCCUAUUAUAAGAUUGGUGGCACUAGGACCUGUGAUAAAGGAUUACGGAGUUCACAGAGAAAACAAGAUUGAACAGUCAGUGUAAUUUCUACUGCUUUUUGGAGUAGAAAUCUGAACUGAAAGCUUUAAAACCAACAAGCUCAUUUGUUUUUUCUAAAAAGCAAUUGAAAAAGGAAAAAAAGAAAAGCACGACAAAUACACAGAGGAAGAUUAAAGGUAAAUAAGACAGAGUAGUUUCAGUAAAAUCACUUGUAGAGAAGGCAGACCAACUACUUUUAAAUAUAAGCGUGCAAGAUACAAAUAAAUCGGUUAACAAAAACAUCUUUUGCCUUUAAUAUUAUCAGUUAAUGUGAGAUGGCAACAUAAAGUUUAACAAGGCAGAAGACAAAGAAAAUGUUGUCUCUGUUCUAUUUUACACUUAGAUAGUAUCUUUUGUAUUGUGUAAAACAGACAAUAAGUGGUAAAACUAUAUCCCUCCCUUCCUCUCUUCCCUCAAAUGGAAUGAUUCUGCCUCAAAGAGGCCAUGUCAGCAGUGGCCACUGUGAUCAGACAAAAUGCACAAGAGUGCCAGAGUCCAGGACAUCCUGAAAGUGCUGCUCUGCUCAGCUGUCCCAAGGUAACGACACAGAGCAUUUCUCUCCUCCCAGCUGCAAGCAAAAUCUAUUGCAAAUGCAAUUCUAUUUUACUCAACAACUCUGUGGUUAAGUUCAUAUUAUGUAUAUUUAAAUUCACACUAAUGUGCUAGUUUUACUGACUAUAGGAUGGUAUAGCAGAGUCAAGGUGGUGCAGCUUUACCAUGAACUACUGCUGGGAUAAUGGAUUAAAAAACCCCAAAACAUCUCUUUUGAACUAUACCAAAAAAAUCUUCAAACCCAUUUUUUCCCCCUUGGUAACAGAAACUCAAAGUUGCUAAUAUUUUGUAUGCUUUCUCACCUAACUGCAGCAGAGUCCAACAUUUGCUGCCCUGCCUAUGUCUGCAACCACAUCACAUCAGAACAGUCAUCACUCCCAAACCUGCAUACAACUUGAAGUUUCACUUGCAAAUCGAGCCUGAGUUCUGAGUUUCUCACUGCAGCCUGUGCUACCGAGCAGAAAACUUACAGCGGCAAGAACAAAAAAUAAACCCACUAAAAAUACAAAACAAAGGCAGGAAUGAACUAGAAAUAAAAUACAUUUGAGGUAGUUAAAAGCCAACCUACUAGAUCCCCAGAUAUAUUUGCACUGAUUAUCUCUUGUCUUGCAUUCACCGUUAUAGCAACGACCCUAAACAAAAGACAACACGUUAGCAAUGAGAACUGAACAUUAUUUCAUUUCUUUCUCCCACAACCAAUGUCUCAUUUUGAUUCUUCACACACAUAUCGGGAUGUAUAAGUUUUCAUUAAUUUGGGUAGAUGGAGUACACAUUUAGGCCCAGAUUCUGUCCAAGUCAGUUGGUGUCUAAUAGGUACUGACAUUUCAGCAGCUGCUUUAUACUUCUCAUUUACAUUGUUCUAAUGAACAUCUUAACAUGUAGUGAAAUACAAGAUCUACAUGUAAAACGUAAAGAUACAAAGCACCUUUUUACUCAAACUAGAAUUUUUUACUAUUCAUAGAGUGCAUAAAGCACAAGCAACAUUCACAUCCAAAAGACAAGAUUUACGAAGAAAUAUAGAAGAUAGGAUUAAAACAAAAAUGACAGCUUGUAUUUGGUUGAUUUCUGUUUGCUGAUGUGUGGGGAUUUUAAAACGCUGCAUACCUGAUUAGAAUCACAGGCAUAUCCAUCUUGUUUAUGAAGAUUUGGUGGACACUGAAAAAAAUUAAGAAUUUUUUAAAUAAUGUAAUAAUACAACAAAAGAUGAUGUAUGGAAUUUUCCUGGUUUUAAAAGACAAUCACACAACAUACAAAGGGGGUAGCUAACACAAUUAGUGCAGGAAUCUUUAUAGCUACAAAUACCAAUGAGCCAUGAAAUAUGGGGUUUCAUCCUGACUUUUUGCAUAUUCCAAGUAGAAAUUAAGGAAGUCAAGCAAAAUAAAAAGCAAAGCAAAUGAGUUCAGUAACAGGAUAUUUGGUAGCUAAUACUGGGGCCGUGUUUGCAACAGGACCACUGCGCGCAUUUCAGUUCCACUAAGAGCCUAAGCCAGCACCCAGUUGUAGCCUACCAGUACUGCUUACAGAGCUGGGGGGGGGUUAUGAUAUUGUCAUGUUCUCUCAGCAUUAGAAGCUUUUUUGGUAUGAAAAGUCAUUAGGUCCAAAAGCCUCAGAUUAUUCAAGCUAGGAGCAGGCUAUCUCAACGCUGUUCCUCAUCACAGAGGGACCUGUGAAGAUUUGGAAUGUUGCUGCUGCAACGUACCCUAUUAGCCAACAGUUAUAGGGCAGCCUUUCUCGCCCUUCUCCCUCCUGCUGUGAAUGCUCCAUCUAUUUAAUAAAAGAUUUACAAUAAAAUCGCAGCAAUAGCUACUUAUGUGUAAAUGUGCGUGUCCCAGAUUAUAACAGAAGAAGUUGCUGUUCAUUUAUUGGCAUCAAUAAUUACAGAGAGGUGAUCUAUCCUGAACCUUAUUUCUUCAAAGCUAAGAACUUGAUGCAGCAGAUGACUGCAGCAGGGUUAUGAAGUUCUUAUAUAACCUUGACAUUAAAUACUCAACAUUAAAAGGGAGCAUAUAUCACCUAAAGCACCAAAGUUGCUGUGAAAAUGGAAGAUGUACAGAAUGUUGACUAUUUCAGACUCAAGUUAAAGCAACCCUUUGGUUGCUGUUUAUUCUUAAACUUUUGAGUAUUAGCCAAAUGUCUUCAAGAAAAAUGCAUGAUACCCACAGCUGCUGAAAUCAUACGUGUGCACACUCUUAAAAAAUGUAAUACCUCAUGUAAGUCUGAUAAGGAGCAGCUGAGGGAGCUGGGGCUGUUCAGCCUGGAGAACAGGAGCUGAGGGGAGACCUUAUCACUGUCUACAACUACCUGAAAGGAGGCUGGAACAUGGACGGGGUUGGUCUCAUCUCCCAAGUGACAGGGUGAGAGGAAAUGGCCUCAAGUUACACCAGGGGAGGUUUAGAUUGGAUAUCAGGAAAAAAAUUCUUCAGGGUCACAACAACCCCCUGCAGCGCUCCAGGCUGGGCGCAGAGUGGCUGGAGAGCAGUCAGACAGAAAGGGACCUGGGGGUGCUAAUUGACAGGAAGCUCAACAUGAGCCAACAGUGUGCCCAGGUGGCCAAGAAGGCCAACGGUAUCCUGUCCUGUAUCAAAAACAGCGUGGUCAGCAGGACAAGGGAAGUGAUCCUUCCCCUGUACUCUGCAUUGGUGAGGCCACACCUGGAGUAUUGUGUUCAGUUCUGGGCCCCUCAGUUCAGGAAAGAGAUUGAAGUGCUGGAGCGGGUCCAGAGAAGAGCAACACGACUGGUGAAGGGACUUGAACAUAAGACCUAUGAGGAGAGGCUGAGGGAGCUGGGGUUGUUUAGUCUGGAGAAGAGGAGGCUUAGAGGUGACCUCAUCACUCUCUAUAACUACCUGAAGGGAAGUUAUAGCCAGGUGGGGAUUGGUCUCUUCUCCCAGGCAGUUAGCAAUAGGACAAGGGGGCAUGGGCUUAAACUCUACCAGGGGAAAUUUAGGCUGGAUAUUAGAAAGAAAUUCUUUACAGAGAGAGUGAUCAGGCAUUGGAAUGGCUGCCCAGGGAGGUGCUGGACUCGCUGUCCCUAGAGGUUUUUAAACUGAGAUUGGACAUGGCACUUAGUGCCAUGAUCUAGUAAACGGACUAGAGUUGGACCAAGGGUUGGACUCGAUGAUCUCUGAGGUCUCUUCCAACUCAGUCGAUUCUGUGAUUCUGUGAUUCUGUGAAACGGUUGUCAGACAUUGGAACAGGCUGCCCAGGGAAGUGCUGGAGUCACCAUCCCUGGAGGGGUUUAAAAGAUGUGCAGAUGUGGCGCUUACUAACUUGGGUUAGUGGUGGACUUGGCAAUGUUGGGUUCACAGUUGGACUCAAUCUUAAGGGUCUUUUCCAACCUAAAUAAUUCUAUGGUUCUAUACUCAAUUAGUUGUCAUUUUCUAUGUUUAUAUUUUAAACUACUUUAAAUAAUAAGAUCCUUUGAAUCCAUUCACAUUUGCAGUAUAUUCUCCAUACUUACACUAUAGGCCAGGUAAAGAGUAAAGGAGGAUGUCUGACACAAAUACUAUACAGACACACAAAGCCCCCCAGGUUUUAAAAAAUAAAUAAAACUACAGAAGUAAUAUUCUGAGUCCACCUAGAUUAUUUUUUUUGAGCUCAUGACAAUUUAUUCUUAUGUUUAAAAAAUUUUCUUAGGAUUAAAAAAUAACCCUGUUAGUUAUUUGUGGGUAUAUGAGAAUCCAGUUUAUUAAUCUGGAUUUUCCUCUUAAUUUGAUAUAAAAUGAGUGCAAACAAAGAAGAGUGUAAGCAGAGAAAGCUGCUGCAAACAUACCUGGCCAGAAUCCCCAGUGCAGAACUCUGCAAUAUCACAUUCAUUCACCGCAUAGCGACAGUCAUAGCCUCGCGGGAAAAACUAGGAAAUGAAGAAUAUAGUUCAGGACUAAGAUUAUGUAAAAGGAAUAUUAAAGGCUCAUGUUCGGAAUUACUCCUCAUUUUAACACAAACACACUGUAAACACUAUACUCAUGCAUAUUUGUUUGGGUUUUUUUUUUUUUUGCUUGGCUAACAACAGAACACCACAAUCUCAAUAGUUAUUUCAAAGUUUCUUAAUCUUUAAAAGGCUAAUAUAUAAAUGCAAAUAAAAGGCAUUUUUACAUGAAUACAUAUCAAAUACAACGUAUUUAUGUAUGGGUCAGUAACCACAUUAUUGUCUGGAAUAACCAUCUUACUCUACAUAAGCUGUUUCUCUUCAUUCUACAUAAAACAUGCUUUGAACUAUAAGAGGCUGCACACGACUUCCAUGGCCAACUGAGAAGACCUCUGGAUACUGCAGCACCACUCACCAGACACGAUGUAUUACAGCAGGGGCCAUCGCUGCAGUGCGCUCCGUUAGAAAGAGAGCACUUCUUACAGCAGUCUGCAUAGCAUUCCUGAGGAAAACAGUAAGCCACAUUUUCAGUCUUCCAUUUUAAAUAAGCUUUUUCUUCACAAUCUUUCCAACAAAGUCUUAUGUACCAGCAGAAAAAAGAUCAGUUCAGCACUGAUGGCUUGAAAUUAUCAGCUGGAAGAAUUAUUUGCAAUGCUCAAAUACUGAAGUAAAGGGAAAGCAGUGACAUGUAAGCUCUAGCAACAAGGAGAUUCUCACACCUUCUGAAGCCUCUUCAGAGGUGUGGAAAUAGCCUGUGCCAAAUGCACGUGCUUAGUCAAAUUGCAUUCAAUGUAGAAAAAAAAUUAAGAAAAAUAAUUAUGGGUGCAAUUCUAUUUAAAUACUAGAACUAGGAAUCGAAUCUACAGGGCAGAUUUUUGCAAAAACAUUAUCGGAAUAUUUCUACAACAGAGAAGAAAACAACAUUUUACUUAUUCUGUGUGAACACAGGCACCUGUCUCCAAAGCACAGAUAAGGGCACUAUCACUCCAACCACGCUAACCAGGAAAAGUAAAGGUCUAAGCACUUCUACAGGGCGACUCACAGAUUUCUGGGAAGCGGCUACAUGUUAGUACAAGAGGAAGACUGUUCUGAGGACACACAUUGUCUUUGCACUCAUUCUCACUUGAGAAAAUGUUCCCUAACAAUAGGCAAAACAAACUCAUUUCCAUAACCUUUCUUCCUCUCUUACCAAUUACAUAACUUAUCUUAAUAUAUUUUGUAAGAAAGACUUGUGCAAUAACAGAAGUCUACUUGCCAUUCGGAAACCGCAGUCACAUUCUUCUCCUGCUUCUACGUAUCCAUUCCCACACUCUGUAGUUUCAAAAAGCUGAAAGCAAAAAUGUCCCCACCGCCCCAAGUCAGAAUAAAACCGAUAUCAAAUGACUUUUCUGUGCCACACAGCCCAUUUCUGCAAUACUACAGAGAGUACAUAUGACUUGCUACUGUGUUUUUCAAGUGCUGUCAGUCAGAAUUGUUCAGACAUAAAAGAUGUACAGCUAAAUCACUUGAUUGCUAGAACUCUUUAGGAGAAUACUGAUUUGGAAAAUUACAACAAAUAGACAAUGAAAUAAUACUCAAGGCAGUAACAUUUGAACUUCGUUCCAAUUCUCUGGACUCCCAUUUCUCUAACAAUUCCUCCAAGAAACCAGUCUGCUGUAUGAUCUCUGGCAUCUGCUCAGGUACCCAUCCUUGCUCAUGCAAUUAGCCACUGCCUAUUCCAGUGGAACAUGGUUGUGCAAGAAAAUAACAAAUAUUAAGAAACUCUGCCAAAAGGAAGUUCUAUGUGCAUUAUUAGUAAGUUAGAACACAACCACAUAUAGAUAGUGCUAAAUAGUUACUCCUAGGAGUAGAUAUAUACAAUACAGAUAAAUUCUACAGUUCAGGAUGAUAUAGAUUCUAUACUCUUUUCACAUAUCAUAAUUUUGAUUAAGGGGAUUUAAGAUCUUUUUCAGUUUUGUCACAGAAAUAACUUCUCAAAAACCUUGUCUGUUUUCAAUAUAAUAAUUCUGCUUUUAAAUCCUAUAAGUCUACCGGGAAUCUCCAAUUUAACUGGGAUAUUGGCAACAGAAACAUAUUCAUCAAGAGAAUGUGGUUGAAAGAAGUUAAAAGUUAACAAGUUAACAUGAGGACAGGUAAAUCUACAGCUGGAUGAGAGUCAAAGUUGUGAGUAAACAUGUUCUUCCUGCAUGGCCUAAGUGGCACUACAGCUGUUGAGGAUCAAGAUAUGAAACAUAAUUACAGAAUCCCAGAAUGUCAGGGGUUGGAAGGGACCUCAAAAGCUCAUCCAGUGCAAUCCCCCCAUGGAGCAGGAACACCCAGAUGAGGUUACACAGGAAGGUGUCCAGGUGGGUUGGAAUGUCUGCACAGAAGGAGACUCCACAACCCCCCUGGGCAGCCUGGGCCAGUGUUCUGUCAGCCUCACUGAGAAGUUCCUUUUCAAAUUUAAGUGGAAUCUCUCAUGUUCCAGUUUGAACUCAUUACCCCUUGUCCUACCAUUGGUUGUCACCGAGAAGAGCCUGGCUCCAUCCUCAUGACACUCGCCCUUUACAUAUUUAUAAACAUUAAUGAGGUCACCCCUCAGUCUCCUCUUGUCCAACUCCAGAGCCCCAGCUCCCUCAGCCUUUCCUCACACGGGAGAUGCUCCACUCCCUUCAGCAUCUUUGUUGCCCUGCGCUGGACUCUCUCCAGCAGUUCCCUGUCCUGCUGGAACUGAGGGGCCACAACUGGACACAAUAUUCCAGGUGUGGUCUCCCCAGGGCAGAGCAGAGGGGCAGGAGAACCUCUCUGACCUAUUGACCACCUCCCUUCUAAUCCACCCCAGGUACCAUUGGCCUUCCUGGCCACAAGGGCCCAGUGCUGGCUCAUAAUUAUUUAUAAACUUGGUUGGAAUUAUUCUGCAGUACUUGGAAGGGGAGGAAUCAUAAUGCCUAAUCAAAAAGAAAGAAAAUAUUUUACUUAUCUUGCAUAAACCACAUAUCUAAUCAAUAGUGUCUACAAUUUUGGGUGCCAGAAGCAAAACUACGCUGAAGCAAUUAAUACUAUUAUGUACCCUUCUUCAUUAGCAAUGCCGAUAUGACUCAGAAAACUGACAUUUCUUUUUUCUCUGUAAGUCACUGUUACUACUGCACUUCAGUAAAUCUCUCAUUCUGAACAUGAAAUUCAGUUUUUCAUCAAACAGACCUGGUUAUCUGACCUGCAGCUUGUAGGAAAUCAAAAAGGGAGAAGAACACAUAAAAAUUUCCUACAGCAUUAAUCAGGAACCAUCGAAUGUCCAUAAUACAUGCCAGACCAUAACCAAAAGGUGAUAAUUAAAAGUACAAUCAUGGUGACUGCUUAACACAACCAUGUUUUAUUUACCUAAAGAUUAGAUACGCUAUUUUCUACCUUACCUUCCAACAUCCAAAUAACAGGAUUCAAAACAUUUUAUGACUUUUUUUUUCCCAAACUACUUUAACUUAAAAGCUGUGAAACACUGACACACAUAACAUACAAAGUUAAUUCAGUCAUUCUCCUGGGAGCAUUUUCACAGAACUAAACCAGUUUUUUAUUCUGUAUACAGUCAAUUUGAUUAAAUUUAUUAACACUACCUUGCUAAACAACCAUCAUCAAACAAUGAAGCUGUAUUUUUCUUUCUACUUUUUACUGUAAGAAUUCUUACGUUCUUAUUCUAUAAGCAAAGAUUGCUACCCUGGGAAAAGAACAAAAAACUCUCUAACAAGCAAAUUUCUUUUUAGUUAAUUGUGCAAUGUGGUGGCCCUACCAAAAGAUACAGAACUGUAAACAGAACAGCCUAAUAGUCUCAUGUGGUAUUAAAUUCUACAAGGACAGCAAGUUUGACACCAUUAUUGAAUAGAAUAUUAAUACUUCGGAUUGAUCUUACUUUGCAAAAAAAAGCCACAUGGAAUAUUUUUAUACUACUCAGCUUUAGAAGGAUGUCGUGCUAAUAUUGCCUUAGAAAAAAUUAUGACCUUGAGAACUUUUUAGGCAAAAAACAACGGGUGGUACAAGUGAACAGUUAUAAAUUACGGAGUUUGCUAGAUGUACUUCUGAAAUGAGAUGGAAUUAAGUUAACUUUGAGAACAACCAUAAGCUGCUACUGUCUGUACAAAGUAAGCUAUUGAUUUCUAAUUCCUAGUGUGGAAAACAAGUUGCAUUCCUUUUAAGAUUCUAUGAGAAUAAAUAGUCAGCUAAUAACAAACAACCUCAAGAAAAUACAAAAACAUCUGAAUAAAUUUCAGAAUAGGUGGAUGUUAGUGAAAUAGUUACAUUACAAUGUUUAGCAGAGGUUCUGACUACCAACAUAUUUAUUACCUUUGUUGGCCUGUUGAAAAGACAGGCACCUCCCCCACGAAGUAAAAAUUCUUUGUAUUCUGCAAUGCUGCAUUUGGAGAAUUUUCUGGAAUGGUAUACCCUAAAAUGGCAAAGAAUUAGCUCAGCAAAUGCCCUGAAACACCAACAGUUACUGGAAGGGGCAGAAGGGUCACACCAUUUUUUAAUACUGUAAAUCCCAAUUUCUUACAACCACUGUGUGCAACAGUAUGUCAGCUCAGUCUUAUUCUCAAAAAAUAAAAUCAGAAUAAAAGAAAAAGCUUUUAAA